AUGACCAGACAAUUGAGGGUUGAGCACUUAUAUCUGCAGUAUCUGCAUCUUCAGGUUUGCCAUCCUCUUCAUUUCAUCAUGCAUCUCCUCAUAGAUUUCAUCUUGCUCCUCUUCCUGUGCACCCAAGCAAAUUCUGCCGCGAUAGACACCAUCUUGGCCGGCCAAGCACUUACUGUCAACGACAAGCUCGUCUCCGAAAAUGGCAGGUACGCGCUUGGCUUCUUCAACACAAGCAGCAGCAAACCCUCCCAAGACACAACCAACUGGUACCUUGGCAUAUGGUUCAAAACAGUCCCCAAAUUUACUUCUGCAUGGGUUGCAAAUAGGGAUACACCAAUCAAGAGCACCACCUCACUAGAGCUCACAAUCUCCCAGGAUGGCAACCUUGUCAUCUUGAACCGGUCCACCAAGUCCAUAAUCUGGAGUACUCAAGCAAACAUCACAAGAAAUAGCACCACUGCUAUGCUCUUGAGUAGUGGAAAUCUCGUCCUAACAGACUUUUCAAACUCAUCAGAAGUUCUGUGGCAGAGCUUUGAUCAUCCCACAGAUACACUUUUCCCUGGGGCGAAGUUAGGAUGGGACAAGGUCACUGGCCUGAAUCGCCGCCUUGUUCCUUGGAAGAACUUGAACAAUCCAGCUACCGGUGUCUAUUGUUAUGCGUUAGACCCCAGUGGUCUCAAACAGUUCAUGCUUACACCAUUGAACUCCUCCAUACAAUAUUGGUCGACAGGUGUAUGGAACGGCGAAUAUUUUCCCUCAAUACCAGAGAUGAAAGUCAGCAACCCAGUUUUCAACACAACAUUUGUCAUCAAUGACCAAGAGAGGUAUUUGACAGUUAACUUAGUCAAUAAAUCUAUGGUUACUCGUAAUGUAAUGGACGUCUCAGGUCAAAGAAAAGCGUUCAUUUGGCUGGAGGACUCACAGGAUUGGACAAUGAUCUAUGCCCAACCGAAACUUCAGUGUGAUGUCUUUGCAAUCUGUGGAUCUUUCACAAUUUGCAAUGAUAAUGCGCUUCCACAUUGCAACUGCAUGGAGGGCUUCACCAUAACAUCCCCAAAGGAUUGGGAGCUAGAAGAUCGAACAGGUGGGUGCUCAAGAAAUACUCCGUUAGACUGCAUUAGCAACAAAAGCACAACUCAUACAACAGACAAGUUCUACUCUGUGUCGUGUGUUGAGUUUCCGGAGAAUGCCCCAAAACUAGAAGCUGCUGCAAGCGCGGGCGAGUGUGCACAAGUUUGUCUGAGUGAUUGCUCUUGCGCCGCAUAUUCCUUCAACGAUGGAAGAUGUUCUAUCUGGCAUAAUGAAUUGCUCAAUAUAAGAGCGCUAGAAUGCAGUGGUACUUCAAGUUCAACUGGAGAAACUCUUUACCUGCGUGUUUCUGCCAAAGAUUUCCAUGGAGUGAAAAACAACAGAAAGGGGAUUGUUAUUGGAGUUGCAACUGGUACAUGUGUUUCUGCUCUAGUUUUAUUUGCACUUGUUGUCCUGGUAAUGAUUUGGAGAAACAAAAGCACGAGCUCUAGCCAUAUACUCAAUGGUGUUCAAGGUUGCAAUAGAAUCAUUGCAUUUAGAUACACUGAUUUACAACAUGCCACAACAAAAUUCACAGAUAAGUUGGGGGCAGGCAGUUUUGGUUCUGUAUUCAAGGGUUAUUUAAAUGACUCGGUAGCUAUAGCAGUGAAAAGGCUUGACGGUGCUUAUCAAGGAGAGAAGCAAUUCAGAGCUGAAGUGAGCUCAAUUGGAACUGUCCAACACAUCAAUUUAGUUAAGCUUGUCGGUUUUUGUUGUGAGGGUUCCAAGAGGUUGCUUGUUUAUGAACACAUGUCAAAUCGCUCUCUUGAUGUCAAUCUAUUUCGAAACAAUUCAACGAUAUUGAGUUGGACUAUUAGAUAUCAGAUAGCCCUGGGGGUUGCUAGAGGGUUAGCUUAUUUGCAUGAGAGCUGUCGAGACUGCAUCAUACACUGUGAUAUUAAGCCAGAAAACAUACUUCUUGAUGAUUCACUAAUUCCCAAAGUUGCAGACUUUGGGAUGGCAAAGCUUUUGGGAAGGGAAUUUAGCCGAGUACUGACUACAACGAGAGGAACUUCCGGGUACCUUGCACCUGAAUGGAUUAGUGGCAUUGCCAUUACACCAAAAGUUGAUGUGUAUAGCUACGGGAUGAUGUUGCUGGAAAUAAUAUCUGGAAAGAGAAACUCAUGGGCACCAUGUACUAGCAGUGGCAACCUUGGCGUGUAUUUCCCUGUGCAUGCCGCACAAAAGCUUCUUGAAGGAGAUGUCGGGAGUUUGGUAGAUCACAAGCUACAUGGUGAUGUCAAUUUGGAUGAAGUUGAACUGGCUUGCAAGGUUGCAUGUUGGUGCAUCCAAGAUGAGGAGCUUGAUCGGCCAACAAUGGAACGGGUGCUUCAGAUUCUUGAAGGACUAGUUAAGAUUACGAUGCCUCCUAUACCAAGACUGCUCCAAGCUAUAGCUUGA
rnacentral:rRNA from 1 species